CGGUACGGGUGAGUAACACGUGGGAUCAUCUACCUUUUAGUGGGGAACACCGUUGGGAAACCAACGACGAUACCGCAUAAGCCCGAGAGGGGAAAGCAGCAAUGCGCUGAAAGAGGAGUCCGCGGCUGAUUAGCUAGUUGGUAGGGUAAUGGCCUACCAAGGCAUCGAUCAGUAGCCGGCCUGAGAGGGCACACGGCCACACUGGCACUGAAACACGGGCCAG
rnacentral:rRNA from 1 species